CGGAAGCCUUUGCGGGAACUUCCGGCCAAGCGUGGGAACGCUGCGAGCUUCCUAGAGGCAAAAUUUGAGGGGGCUGAGCGGAGAGUGAUUAGGGCGGAGCGGGCCUGGGAGACUUUGGGCAUCUCCUCUGAAAGCCGCUUCGCACGUGCCCGGGUGACGGGUGAUGCGUUGGGCAGGAAGAUAAGGAAAUGAACUCAGAGAAGAUAAAUGAUUUGCCAAAAGUCACUUGAGACAGAAAUGUAACUUGAAAUAGAAUUUGCAAUUUUCAGUUCCUGAUGUUUUUACAUUAUGCUCCCAAAGUGAAUCUGUGGACAUACAUUUCCACUAGGAAGACUAUAAAGCUUUUCAGCUGCAAACAUAACCCAUUCUUCAAGACAAAAGAAGAAUGACCACAAAAAAGUGAUUCAGAGAUCAUUAUGACUUCUUCCUAUGUUUCAAAGUGGGGGGGAGAAUUGCCUCAUUUUCAACAAGUUAGAUUACCUCCAAUCAAAGGCAUAGGGGUAGGACUGGGAGGAGCUGUGGAGGUUUAGUGCCUGACCAGCAGAAACCUGGACUGAGCACUUUGCAGAGCUACAGAGAAAUACCUCAAUUCUACUGGGUCUGGAAAAUGGCACCUCUGCCCCAGUGGGCUUGGAAUGCACAGCAUCAAGCACAAGAGGAUUAUUCUUCAGCCCUGAGAUACGGAGUUUGACUUGCUAGGUUUUGGACUUACUUAAAAGCUGUCACUCUUUUCUUCUUUCUUAUUUCUUUUCUUCUGGAAUGGGAAUAUCUAUUCUACACCUGUCCCACUAUUAUAGUUUGGAAGCACAUAACUUCUUAGGUUGGUUGUCAUUAAAAGUGGCAAAAAUCACAAUUACUUUUGCAUCAGCCUAAUACUUGGUUUUACAUGUUCAUAAUUGGAGAGGAGUUUUGUCUCUCAAUAAAUCACACCUUGAGUAUCACUCAUAUCUGGGUGAUCAUAUACUGGAACCCCUAUUUGCUUUUACUUCCUGUGCACCACUGCAAACUGGUGCCAAGGGAAUUGCCAUAGGUUUAUCAGUAAAUAAAGAAGAGAAAAAUCUGUCUGUUAUUUAAUUCUUUUCCUUGAGUUCACUAAUUCUAAUUUUUAAGCCAAAUACAUUUUCUUAAUGUUAUAAAUUUAAAAAAUGAAAAGUUAUGUAAAGUGAACCAUAACUAUGGACUGAAACUCUCAAAUACUUUUGAAUAUGCGGAGGUCAAUUCUUUUUUCCUCUGCCCUACCUCCCUAUGGAGGAAAAGUGUCAAAACAUUUGAUUUCACAUGGUGGAGAAGAACAAAGCAGGAAAGGAGAAACUGGUCUUUUCUUUGCAAAGAAGGACAUACUGGUGCACAAAACUGGGACUUCAUUUCGUUUCUUUUUUAGCUGAGCAAGGAUGGAAAGUGUUUUACAGCUGGCAUCCCAUCAGUCACCUACAGAAACACUUUAGUCCUUAUGGUGAGGUGCUGGGAAAGCUGGUAUGAAAUAAAUACUAAUGGACCCCAGCAUACUGGUUUUCCCCUCAAAGCUUAGGUAAAUUUAUUAACAAGGAAUACACAUAAAUCAGGUGUACUAAUGAGAAAAGGUUAUUUCUUUGUCAUGCAUUAGUUACAUCUUCCAAGAAAUGAGGGAAAAUUCCUCUCUUACUUCUAGCUGUCCACAGUUUUACUCUUCCUUCUUUCCCUUCCCCAGAGUCAGGUGCUACAAUCAAAACCAUCUCAUCGAUUGAACAAUGAGCCAAAUAAAACAAAAUAUAAUGCUAAAAAGAUAAAUUUAAAGAUAUGAACAUCGGUCUAAAAACACUGUUUUAAGGCUAGGAUGGGAGAAACAUGGUUUAACAGGAGCAUAUGAAAAAGUCUAGGUAAUUUAUUGGACAGUAAAUUCAGUAUUAACCAACAGUGUGAUAUUAAAAUAGUCAAUGAGAAUUUAGAAUGCAUUAAUAGAAACUUAUUUUCUAAAAGAAGAUGUGAUAGGUCUUCUCUGGGCUGAUUCACUUACAUUCAUGACAAUUUAAAAAAUACAUUGAAAUAUGUUCAGAAGACUAAAGGAGGAGUUAACGAAAAUUCAUGAGCAUCUCAUAAGAACACUACCUUUAGAACAAAGGUGUUUCCUCUAAAGAAGAGAAAGAGAAUCAGAAUCAUAAUUUUCUAAUCACUGAGGUGAUGCCACAUAGAAGAGGAUAAGAGGAUAUGCAUUCACUUGUAAGAUCCCAAAUGUUAGAAGAUGGAUGAACAAAUAGAAGUAAUAGAAAGACCCUUGCUUCCAUAUAUAGAAAGUCUGACCAAUAGAUAAGAUAUUAAUUCACCUCUAAGAUGAGCCUCAGGCCAAGCAUUCUUGAGCAUUUAAGUUACUGGUGAACAAGUCCUUAAAAGAGGUUGAUUUACAGGGGCCUCAAGUUUACAUAGAUGAUUAGAUAGAAAAUGUCUCUUGGUUCUGAGGUCACUAUUCCUUAUAUGGGAUGCCUAAGCUAACUGUUCUCUUCAGAAUACAGCUGAGAGUGAGUGAGAUGGUGAAUCCCUAUUUCUAUCAAUUUGUACAUUCUUUUAGAUUAUAUUGUCAAUCUUUGAGAAUUGACUAAUAUUAUUCUUCACCCUUUUGUUUAGAUAUUGUUUUCCAAUAGGAUUGUAAAACUUUUUUUUUUAAUAAUUCGGUCUCCAUAGAGACUGUCAAAAAUUGCCAAUGUCAACUAUACUUCAAGUCGUCAUGGCAGAGUAUUGGGAAACAUUUUCAAUUAGCAAUAAUUGUGCCUCAGAUAAACCUUAUUGGCUAUGAUACUGCCAGUGCACAAAGUUUAGGACUGUAAAACUCUUAAGAGGAAGGAGUGUGCAUGUGUAUUUUCCUGGAAUCUUAGUAGUGUUCUCUGUAUACUGUAGAUCUAAAAUAAGUAUUAAUUAUUGAGGCUGAUGAAUAGAACAAAUUUCUCUGAUUAUUAAAAAUAUCUAUUUUCUCAAGGCAGAGAUUUGGAAGUUUCACAUACAAUUCUUAUGGGCCUAAAGCACAGAGUCAAGUUUGAACGGUGCUCCUCAUUCUUUCCCAAAGUAUCCCUCAUAAAGGAUAGGAAAAUUGAAGUCUGAAUGACCUGCUGCAAUGUAAACACUCAUAUUUUAUCUUAAAAUCCACAUAAAAUCUGGGUAUUUUUUAUAUCUAUCACAUAUAAAUAUAAAAAUAAAAGCUUCAUAUUCUUAACUUUGGAAGAAAAAGAAUGCUCCUCCAUCUUUCUAAAUGGUCAAGAUGCUGAUUGCAGUAAGAUCAAUUUUGGAAAAUUAGGUUGAAUUGGAACAGAAAUGACUCUGCGUAUCAGAAUUAGUUCUCAUCUCACUCUUGAAGUCACCACAUUUUUAGGAUUAAAACUUACAGAUAUACACGUGGCAGUCUCCUGUAUCACCACUCCAAAGCUGUAUUACAAUAUGCUCUAGGAGGGACUUCAGGGAUUAUCAGUACCACAUCCUCUUCACGCAGAGAAGAGCAAGAUACAAAGCACUUAAAUGAAUUUCAACAGGAUCACACUGGAAAUGAGCAGCAGGGUCAAAACCAGACCCCUGUGCCAUAACAUGGACAGAGGGCAGGAAGCAGAAAUGUCACCUGCAAUACUCCAGCUCAGCACUGCUCAAAGUUCUGGUGUCAGUUCUUCAGCUUGUUGGCAUCUCUUUCAUGGUACUGGUGGUCUUCCUUCUACUCAUCCUGGCAUGUGUCUGCAGGGUGCAAAGUGUGGCAUACUGGAAGAUGGAAGAGGAUUAUACAUUGGUGUGCAAUACCAGAACGCAGGGAUCAUUAUGGGCCAUCUUGAGGUCCUCAAAAGUCUUCUCCCUUUACAUAAUCAGCUGGAAGCCUUGAAUUUCAUUCUUUAAAUUAGAUCCAGGGAGGGAGGAGCCUUCUUGGGUAGUUUCUUAAUUAAGCUAACUGUGUAGGUAGCUUAUUUUGGGGGAUACCAAAAGUAGUUUAUCCAUUCAUAUUUCAGAUUAGACCUCCCUGAGACAGUAUUUUUAGCUAGAUUCAGUACUUUGACCUGGGGUAAACACUGCAGCUGCCCACAGAUUAUUAUGAGGGAAAAGGAAUGAGUAAGAUUUCAACUAUUCGAAAUUGCUCACCUGAUGAUUUUCCCAGGAACGCAUCCGACUUUGUGCAUUUUGUGACUGUGUUUGCAGAAUCUCAACAACUGCUCCCAUCUACAAAAGGACUUUUUUAAAAAACACUAUUUGGACUGUGGUUUCUUCCUGUAGUGUAUCUUUGAGGAAUGCUUCAAAGUCUCUGAUCAGCAAUGGUACACUUUUUUCUUCAUUAUCGGUAUGCAUGCAUUACAAAACACGUUUUACAAAUGUGCAUAGGUACAUAUGUAUAUAUCUUUAUUUCUUAUUAAGAGGUUUGAGUAGGGGGAAAAAGAAAUAUGUGUUUUUUGCCAAUAGAAUCCAAUUAAUAAAAACAUUUAUAUUUUUGAAAUUAGAACUAAGAGUUCAUCUAGAAAUAGAAAUAAGUCUAUUUUUGAUAAAAAUGAAAACAAUGGAUCUAAACCAACUGUAAUGCUGGUGAUGAAGCAGUUGAAAUGAACAAUUAGGAAGUGGUCCAGUCAUUUAGUGAAUGUUGAUUCUGCCAUCAACACAUUGAGGAGACAUGGUACUUUACUCUGUGUGUAAGAAAAUGAUAUUUAGAAAAUCUGAGUAGAUGUGUCCCAAAAGUGUUAUUCUGAACUUGAUAAAGAUGAUAUGACAUUUUUCCUCAGGGCAACUACCAUAUUCAUGAUUUGUUUGGACUUAGUUUUUCUCCACUAUCAUUGGAUAUUUUACAGGCGGUUAGAUAAAUAAAUCUGGUAAUAGUUUGAUUUAGAGAAAAGAGAAAGAUGCAUUAAGUUUUUUUUUAAACACCUGUAACUUACAAUUCAAGAUGAGAUCUGGGAAAAGAAAAAGAAAAAAAAUUAAAAAUAGAGAAAUAAAAAACACCUGUAACUAUAUAUGUAAUAUAAGUAUAUAAAAUUUUAAAACUUAUUUUGUAACUUUUAUAGUAUGCUGGUUAAUAUGUCUAGAUUAAGUCUACCAAAUGUGUUAUGAAUAUUUUUUUCCACAUAAAAGAUAAACUGUUAAUAUUUUCCAGACAUCAGUGUCUAAUCUACAUCAUUAGCAGACAAUUCCUUUGGCAGCACCAUCUUACUCUUGAUCUGCUUCUCUUAGAUUAACUGAAGAGUUGAACAGUGUAUGAAUAAUUGUUUUUUAUUCCCAGUUUAAAUUUUCCUUUUUAUAAAUGUAAUCUGCUGUAUGUUGUUAAGGAAAGUGAUCAGUUUAGCUAAAAGAAAAAUUAUCAAUUUAUGAAAAAGGAAAAGUUGGGAAAAUGGUAACUUCUUGGUUACUGAAAAGUGUUUGCUUCUAAAACAGGUAGAAGUAAAUAUAUAAUACCCGACUCCCUUAUCUGUGGUUUUGCUUUCUGUGGUUUUAGUUACUCAGGUUGUCAACUGUGGUCCAAAAAUAUUAAAUAAAAAAUUCCAUGCUAGGCAUGGUGGCUCACAUCUAUAAUUCAAGGACUUCAGGAAGCUGAGGUAGGAGGAUCUGUUGAGCCCAGGAGUUUGACAUCAGCUUGGGCAAUAGUGAAACCUCAUCUCUACUAAGAAAAAAAAAAAUUUAGCCAGCCUUGGUGGGACACCCUUGUUGUCACAGUUACUCAGGAGACUGAGGCAGGAGGAUCAGGAGUUGGAGGCUGCGGCGAGCUAUGACUGAGCCACUGCACUCCAGCCUGAGCAA